ensembl:lncRNA
GGAGCUGGUAGGGGAUGCUGAAAGAUGCAGGUGGGUGAGGGAUGGUAGAGGAUGCUGAGAGAAGCAGGUGGGUGAGGGCUGGUAGUGGAUGCUGAGAGAAGCAGGUGGGUGAGGGCUGGUAGAGGAUGCUGAGAGAAGCAGGUGGGUGAGGGCUGGUAGGGGAUGCUGAAUGAUGCAGGUGGAUGAGGGCUGGUAGGGGAUGCUGAAAGAUGCAGGUGGAUGAGGGCUGGUAGGGAUGCUGAGAGCUGCAGGUGGGUGAGGGCUGGUAGGGGAUGCUGAAAUAUGCAGGUGGGUGAGGGCUGGUAGGGAUGCUGAGAGAAGCAGGUGGGUGAGGGCUGGUAGAGGAUGCUGAAAGAUGCAGGUGGGUGAGAGCUGGUAGGGGAUGCUGAGAGAUGCAGGUGGUUGAGGGCUGG